CCAUCUAUUUCUCUCAUUAAUCAGCUUACCAUGACAAGUAGAUUCCUAAUACUACAUGGAUCUACUUUGAGCUAUCAGCUCCCCCAUUUUGCGUGGUCAAAAUAAAUGUAAGCUCAUGAUAUAUGAUUUAAUUGUGGACUUGUUCUGCGUAUGAACUGAAUGUUUCUUUUGCAUGUGCUCCUUGGACUCGGAUUGCGUAGUGUGGCACACAACACCAAUGUCAGUACUGUGCACUAUUGGAAAAGCUAUGGGGCCCAUCAUGAUAAGGAAAAACAGAAGCAGGAAGGACACUGAAGUGGCAUAUGUAGAAGGACAGAGAAGUUUACAUUUUCUUCAUUCUUCUUUUCACUUCUCUAAUAUUCCAUUGUAUUAAAGAAGUCUUAUACUAAGAAAGAUUUGAUUCACAACUUAGAAAAUCAUAAAGCAACAAUAUUUUUGUGAAUACAAAUUCCUCAUGUUUAAAGUAAUCAAAUAACUGAUUGGUUAAAAGCUUCUCAAUCACCAUCUGUCAACAUUGCCUGCAAUUUUCAUAUUUUUAUGCAAUUAGGUGGUCUUUUUUUUUUUUCUUUUUUCUUUUUUCUUUUGUAUGUUGCAAGUUGCAUUGUUGGACAAGGGGCUAUGAUAUUGACAUUUUCAAACUUUAUAUAUUGACAAAUUCAGUCUUUGCAUAAUCUAUAUAACACAAUGAAUUCACAAUUAGCAGGGGCUGAGCAACUCUCUGAUUACCUCUUAAAACAGAUGGAUGUGCUUAAUAUAGAGCAUCAUUGGAAUGUGAAACGGGUUUAUCUAGUGUCAAUUGUAGAGGAAUCAUUCUAUCCUCUUCUUCUUCUUCUUCUUUUUUGGGUUAGUUUCAGUCUUCUAUGAUUACUUUGUCGACUGUAUGAAUGGUUUAUUGCUUUUCGUAUUCUAUCGUUUCCACAUGCUUCUCUCUUAGUAGUUAGUUACUUGGAGUUCCGCAACAAUUUGCUUUUUGUGGACGAGUAUAGCAGUAGGGAGUACUAUGUUAAAAUGUUCCAGGCCAUGGUCAGAUAAUUUCUUAUGUUAUUUGUAUUCUUUACUUCUCACAGUUAUGCAUGACUUGCGACUUAUUCACACAGAUCUGAAGCCGGAAAAUAUUCUUCUUGUUUCUGUAGAUUAUGUGAAGGUGCCUGAUUCUAAGGUGUACUUAAAACAUGCAUAUUUAGGUUUACAAUUUCAUAUGAGAUUUUUAUUGAAGUUCAACCUAGUAAAUGUGUUUUCCAUUUUAUUUUAUUUUUUGUUGAAAUAUGUAUCCUCUGACAUGCAUCAUCAUCUCAUUUUUUUUUAUUUUUUUAUUUUUUGUGAUUUGUUUAAGUUAUAUAGAUAUGUUAUAUGUAUACAAACAUGCUAUAAGGAUUUAAUUGUGUUUAUUUUAUUUGUAUCAUGCAGAAGGCUUCCUUCUACAAAUGUUCAGUCACCUGACAUAAAUGCACUGUAGUUCUAGAAAUGAGAAGAUGUGUGAAGUCGUGUGGGAUGUUGCAAACUAUUUCCCAAUGGCAAUAAUUAGUGGAAGAUGAUGUGAUAAGGUACUGGAGCAAUUAGCUACUUUGCAUGGAAAAUGAUCCAAUUUUGGACCUGUUUAUCUAAGUUAUCGUGCAUUGCAUUUCCAUACACUUGGCAUGCAUGUACUGUUCAUCGCUCGGCAUUGUCAUGGAUGGCACAUGGCCCAAAUAUGCUAGUCAGUGCAUCGUAGCUGCCGAGUGGACUUUUGGGAAUACAAAUGUUCUGAAGACGGGUAUUGAUGCUGCCAAGUUCCUUGCAUAUUAAGAUAAGUUUACCAAAUUCAUUCUGUAAACCAAAGCUUAAACACUCUGCAACUGAAUGUUCAAAC